rnacentral:rRNA from 1 species
CACACCGCCCGUCACACCAUGGGAGUUGGUUUCAUCCGAAGGCGCUACGCUAACCCGCAAGGGAGGCAGGCGACCACGGUGGGAUCAGCGACUGGGGUG